rnacentral:rRNA from 1 species
CCUACGGGAGGCUGCAGUGGGGAAUAUUGGACAAUGGGGGGAACCCUGAUCCAGCCAUGCCGCGUGUGUGAAGAAGGCCCUCGGGUUGUAAAGCAUUUUCAGUGAGGAAGAACGCCUGGUGGUUAAUACCCAUCAGGAAAGACAUCACUCACAGAAGAAGCACCGGCUAACUCCGUGCCAGCAGCCGCGGUAAUACGGAGGGUGCGAGCGUUAAUCGGAAUUACUGGGCGUAAAGCGCGCGUAGGUGGCUUGAUAAGCCGGUUGUGAAAGCCCCGGGCUCAACCUGGGAACGGCAUCCGGAACUGUCAAGCUAGAGUGCAGGAGAGGAAGGUAGAAUUCCCGGUGUAGCGGUGAAAUGCGUAGAGAUCGGGAGGAAUACCAGUGGCGAAGGCGGCCUUCUGGACUGACACUGACACUGAGGUGCGAAAGCGUGGGUAGCAAACAGGAUUAGAUACCCUUGUAGUC